UGUAAUUUAAUAUUUUCCUAUAUAAUGAGUUUCCAAUUGCCAUUUUGUGUGUGUGUGUGUGUGUGUGUUGGACCCUGAGGCAGCCCAGGGUGCUCUCAAGCCAGCUGCCACUGUUUAAAGCAGACAGGAAACAGCUUCCACUAACACGACUGCAAUAUGGAAAGCAGCGACCUCCUCAAUGCACCCCAUGGCAUGAUUCUAAUAUCCCCCCUCUUACUCUUCACACCCACAUGCAGGACGCUGGUUAAAUGCUUUAAUAUCUUACCCUGAUUUGUCUUUUAUGUUUUCCAGGAUCAUCCUGCAUGUGAUGUAUCAGAGAUCAUUUAUAGGACCUUGACCUGCUUCGGCUCAGGAACAUUUGAUAGCAUGUGCCUGGAGUGCGACAGAGAAGGACUUGGAUUUCCCUGGGCUGUAGAGAUGCUUUGUUUCACUGUAAAUGUGUGCGUGUCUGUGUGCGCGCAUAUCUAUUAUCCUUCUGAGAAAUACAGAGGCGCUCGGCUCCCACACUGGCCUCUGAUCAUCGCCCUGUAAAUGCAGCCUGUCACCUUCAGUGGUGUAAUGAUCACAGAAACAGUGACCUUGAUCUAUAGCAAGCCAUAACAGAGAAGAGAGAGCUUCUCCCACUCUCCGCACUCAGAUAUAACAGUGAAACACGGCAUACAGGGGAAACCAGAGGAGGGUUCAGAACAGGGCCAUUUGAUUGGCAAUAAAGGUUGUUGGAGUGUCUGUAAUGGAUGUGAGAUCUCUCCUGUUAUCAUCCAUUUGGAUAGAGCAUCGACUGAAGACCACGCCAUCACAGAUUGAAAACUCAGGGAGUGGCUGAUUAUGGUUUUAUCGCAUAGUCCAUUACACUGGUCAACACUGCACACUGUUUCUCAGAGCUGAGGCAGUGCUGGAUUAAUGGGGCAGCUCUUCUGUUCUCUGCAGCCCCCUCGGACAUACACACCUUUCCUUCCCUUCAGCAAGGCUUUUUGAAUAUGUCCCAGUUCCUGCCACGUUUAGCUUUAAAUAAGUUUCACCCUCCCUUAUAGUAGUAGUAGAAGGGCGCAGUGGGUUCGUGCACCCUAUGAGUUCUGCACUCAUCAUUUAUCAUCCCUCUCUUUUUUUUUCCAGAAACGAUGAACAAUAUUGUAUCAUAGACUGCUCUUGUGAUGCCCGAGGAACCUUUUGGAAAUUAUAUGUGCACCUCAUAUUAUGUUCCUUUGAUGUAUUCGGGUCCAGCCUAUUGGAGCAUGGCAGACCACCUGAGAGUUGUUUUCUGGACUCUGGGAGGUCACCUGACACCACUGCUCUGGAGAAGGUGCACAGCACUGGAUUUCACAUGAAAGAAUCCCCUGCAGCUUUGGAAUGACAUGGGAGGUCUCUCGAGGUCCCCGUCCAGGACAAUGAUGUAUUUAAGUCCCCUAAGAGGUCAGUUGGACUCUGUCCAGCACAUCACCUGCAAUCAAUAGUGUUGGUAAACCAGGCUCAACUGAGUGGCCAUGAAGACUCCCCUUAUAAACACGCUCACAGAGAGGCCGGCAUGGCCCAUUGCUUUGCUAAAACCGCAACCAGCAUCCUCCUGACACACACACAUAACACAUGCCACCACUCUGAAAACAAGUGUUGAUGACAAAGAGAAGAAAAAUAACAGCAACUCAGCGCUUCGCUCUGUCAUACAGCACAGGUUGCAUGUUCUCCUCAACGCCCAGGUGAACUAGGUGCACCACUUCAAUCAAGCUUCACUAUUGGCUUUGAGAGUCAUCUAAACCCAGACAACAAAAGCAAACGCUACAUGUCUCCACAGCUGUGACUUUAUCUGUGCAUCUUCCUGAACGCUCCUUAGUAGGCAAAUGAAGAGGCAAACACAGAUGAUGAUGAUCAUGGUCAUGACAUAGAUCGUUGAACCACUUGGGAAGGAAUGGCAGCUGAAGCUUUUCCCAGACAUGGCCGACCCUGCCUUCUGCUCCUCGCCAUUCAGAGGGGGGUUCUGGCCUCAUGUUCCUCUCGCUAGAUGAGCCUGGUAAUCUGCAGUGACGAUCAGACUCUUUCUUGGAUGAAAAGUGGUGUCAUUUUGGUUUUGGGUAUCAAGAAGGACUUGGAGUGAGAAGAUUAAAUACAACCCCCCUAAAAGUUAUGAGUAAGUAUUAUGAAUGAGCUUAUGAUAAAUUAAAGGGUUAGUUUAUCCAACUAUGAAUUAUUCAUCAUUAAAAACACAAAUUAAGGCAUUUUUGAUCAUAUCUAAGAGAUUUUAGUUUGUCCAUUGAAGU